GUCCCGACCAAAUCUCGUGCCAGCAGUCGCGGUAAAACGAGGGGGGCAAGCGUUAAUCUCAAUUAUUAGGUCUAAAGGGUCCGUAGACGGUUUUACAAGUUAUUUUAUAAAAAAAUAAUACUAUAAGACUAGAGUAACUAAGGAGAAAUAAGUAUUUUUAGAGUAAGGGUUAAAUCUUAAUACUAGAGAGACUUCCAAAGGCGAAGGCAUAUUUCUAUAAUUUACUGACGUUGAGGGACGAAGGUUAGGGUAGCGAGCCGGAUUAGAUACCCGAGUAGUCCUAACUGUAAACGAUGAAUGCUAAUUCUUAUUGUUAUGUAUUUAACUAAAGAAUAAAGUGAAGACGAUAAGCAUUCCACCUGGAGAGUACGUUCUCAAGAAUGAAACCCAAGACAUUAGGCGGUUGUAGGCUUCAGCAGUUAAGCAU
rnacentral:rRNA from 2 species